GUGGGUUUGUGUCCUUUUGGCUAAGAUCAAGUGUAGUAUCUGUUCUUAUCAGUUUAAUAUCUGCUACGUCCUCUAUCCAAGGACAAUAUAUUAAAUAAUCAUAAUCACA
rnacentral:snRNA from 1 species